GUGUCAGCAGCCGCGGUAAGACGGAGGAUGCAAGCGUUAUCCGGAAUUAUUGGGCGUAAAGCGUCCGCAGGUGGCUGUUCAAGUCUGCUGUCAAAUUCCAGGGCUUAACCCUGGUUCGGCAGUGGAAACUGGAUAGCUAGAGUACGGUAGGGGCAGAGGGAAUUCCUGGUGUAGCGGUGAAAUGCGUAGAUAUCAGGAAGAACACCGGUGGCGAAAGCGCUCUGCUGGGCCGUAACUGACACUCAUGGACGAAAGCUAGGGGAGCGAAAGGGAUUAGAUACCCCAGUAGUCC
rnacentral:rRNA from 1 species